GAUGAACGCUGGCGGCGUGCCUAAUACAUGCAAGUCGAGCGAACAGACGAGGAGCUUGCUCCUUUGACGUUAGCGGCGGACGGGUGAGUAACACGUGGGUAACCUACCUAUAAGACUGGGAUAACUUCGGGAAACCGGAGCUAAUACCGGAUAAUAUUUCGAACUGCAUGGUUCGAUAGUGAAAGAUGGCUUUGCUAUCACUUAUAGAUGGACCUGCGCCGUAUUAGCUAGUUGGUAAGGUAACGGCUUACCAAGGCAACGAUACGUAGCCGACCUGAGAGGGUGAUCGGCCACACUGGAACUGAGACACGGUCCAGACUCCUACGGGAGGCAGCAGUAGGGAAUCUUCCGCAAUGGGCGAAAGCCUGACGGAGCAACGCCGCGUGAGUGAUGAAGGUCUUCGGAUCGUAAAACUCUGUUAUUAGGGAAGAACAAACGUGUAAGUAACUGUGCACGUCUUGACGGUACCUAAUCAGAAAGCCAACGGCUAAACUACGUGCCAGCAGCCGCGGUAAU
rnacentral:rRNA from 1 species